GACACUAAUCUUCCUAAAAAUUUGACUAACUGGCUGCUCACCUGGACCCUGACAUCCUAGCAUGGUUGUUAUAAGCCAGUGGAUACACCCACAGUGAGGCAAAGUCCACCUAGAAUGUGGUUACAUAAUCUAAGGACAUCAAACAUGUAGUAACAUUGUACAGGGACUUCUGGAGGCCUGGCCAUUGGCACGAGCAUAGAGGAGAUGUCAGGCAGGUGCUGGGAACAGUGUAUCCUUGGCAGAUGUUCAAAGGGCUGACCACACUUGGCUAGCCUUGCUAUCCAAAAAGUGUGUCUAGUCUCAAGGCCAUGGCCACCUGGGAAUGGUCAUGCAGC
rnacentral:lncRNA from 1 species